UACGUAGGGCGCAAGCGUUAUCCGGAAUUAUUGGGCGUAAAGAGCGUGUAGGCGGCCAGGUAGGUCUGCUGUGAAAACUCGAGGCUCAACCUCGAGACGUCGGCGGAAACCAUCUGGCUAGAGUCCGGAAGAGGAGAGUGGAAUUCCCUGGUGUAGCGGUGAAAUGCGCAGAUAUCAGGAGAACACCCGUGGCGAAGGCGGCUCUCUGGGACGGUACUGACGCUGAGACGCGAAAGCGUGGGAGCGAACAGG
rnacentral:rRNA from 1 species